GACGAACGCUGGCGGCGCGCCUAACACAUGCAAGUCGAACGGUGAAGAGGAGCUUGCUCCUCGGAACAGUGGCGGACGGGUGAGUAACACGUGAGCAACCUGGCUCUAAGAGGGGGACAACAGUUGGAAACGACUGCUAAUACCGCAUGACGUAUCGGGAUGGCAUCUUCCUGAUACCAAAGAUUUUAUCGCUUAGAGAUGGGCUCGCGUCUGAUUAGAUAGUUGGCGGGGUAACGGCCCACCAAGUCUACGAUCAGUAGCCGGACUGAGAGGUUGAACGGCCACAUUGGGACUGAGACACGGCCCAGACUCCUACGGGAGGCAGCAGUGGGGGAUAUUGGACAAUGGGGGCAACCCUGAUCCAGCGACGCCGCGUGAGGGAAGAAGGUUUUCGGAUUGUAAACCUCUGUUGACGGAGAAAAAAAUGAUGGUAUCCGUUUAGAAAGCCACGGCUAACUACGUG
rnacentral:rRNA from 1 species